GCUGCUGUUUGAAGUUUGGAUCUAACGGAGAGGGCAACGGUCAAUUUAAUGCUCCUACAGGCGUGGCCGUUGAUGUGAACGGGAACAUCAUUGUAGCCGACUGGGGCAACAGCCGCAUACAGGUGUUUGAUGGUAGUGGCUCCUUCCUGUCCUAUAUCAACACAUCAGCUGACCCUCUCUACGGACCUCAGGGUCUGGCUCUCACCUCUGAUGGACACGUGGUGGUGGCCGACUCUGGGAACCACUGUUUCAAGGUCUACAGAUACCUACAGUAAUAGAGGGAGGGAGGUAUCGGAGAAUGAAUGGAGGGAGAAGAGAGAUGGAGAGAUGGACGGAAUCACUGUUUCAAGGUCUACCACUUCCUGGUGUGAACUUAAAUGACGACCAGUCAAAUCAGCACCUCUCUUUGCACUGACGACACGUCACUCAUCUGCCUUACUAUUGGCCAGAGCUGCACAGUGAGAGCAUUGGUUCUGGGACCUAACAGACCUGAGACCUAGCUCUCGGCUUGCCAAAAUGAUGUCACAGCUCCCCAUCCCACCGUGGAAACCUGUUAAUCUGACUCAAUGUCAAACUAAUCUCAACCUGUUAAUCUGACUCAAUAUCAAACUAAUCUCAAUCUGUUAAUCUGACUCAAUAUUAAACUAAUCUCAGCCUGUUUUUCUGACUCAAUAUCAAACUAAUCUCAAUCUGUUAAUCUGACUCAAUAUGAAACCAAUCUCAACCUGUUAAUCUGACUCAAUAUCAAACUAAUCUCAAUUUGUUAAUCUGACUCAAUAUCAAACUAAUCUCAAUUUGUUAAUCUGACUCAAUAUUAAACCAAUUUCAACUUGUUUAUCUGCUCUUAAACCUAUGGACUCUACAGAACAAUAUAUAGACUGUUCAUAUGGGUUCUAGAGAACAAUAUAAAUUGUUCAUAUGGAUUCUAGAGAACAAUACAAAUUGUUCAUAUGGGUUCUAGAGAACAAUACAAAUUGUUCAUAUGGGUUCUAGAGAACGAUAUAGAUAAAUGUAUGUUCUAUAGAAUAAUAAUAUUGAUGGUUCGUUUGAGGAUCGUUGUCUGCAAAAUCAAUAAGGAAUGCUCAGUACUGUUCAAGAACGUGGCUAUGGUUAUUCUAAUACUCCCCAGAUAUAUUAAUAAAUCAAUCAGUCCAUUCAUUAUUGAUGAUUGGUUGAUUUGAUUGAUUGAGCUAAAAGGCAACUUGCGACUUUACACUUGGAUGAGGUAUUUAUUCAACCAUCCAAUUUUUCAGAAGAAAAAAAAAUACUGGAUGCUUUCCAAAUUGCUCCCUAUGCGCCCAGGGCAAUAGUAGUGCACUACGUAGGGAACAGAGUGCUAUUUGGGAGACGGACACAGUUGYAAGAUAACAUGGAAGAGUAUAUAUAUUUGGGAAUGAUCUUUAUUAUUAAUACUGAUCAAUAACCAUUUGCAAACUAACUCUCAUCAGUUCUGUUUUCACCCCCUCAUUAGAAAAAAACUAAACUUACAUUUAGAAGUAGGGCUCAGCACGAUUUAAAUUCAAAAGGUCAUUUCCGAUUGAGCCGACAUGCAGCGUUUACCGUGAAUGCAGUCUCCAGGAACGCGGGAACAUUGCCUUUAMAUUUCUAUUACRCUGUAGCGUAGGUCUUCAUGAAUCGAGCCCUUAAUAUUUGAUUAAUAAUUUUCUUGUUAAGGAUUCCAAAUGAGUUUGUUUAUUAUUAAGUUUGCUGUUGCUCGUCAGUGCAGUAAUAUAUCUCUCAUUAUGGAAUACCAGAGUAUUCUAGAACAGUUCAUUAUUAAGUUUGCUGUUGCUUGUCAGUACAGUAAUAUAUCACUCAUAAUGGAAUACCAGAGCAUUCUAGAACAAUUUAUUA